rnacentral:rRNA from 1 species
GACGAACGCUGGCGGCGUGCCUAACACAUGCAAGUCGAACGGACAGGCCCUGCUUUUUUGGGGUGCUCGCGUGGCGAACGGGUGAGUAACACGUGAGUGACCUACCCUUGACUUUGGGAUAACUUCAGUCAACUGAGGCGAAUACCGGCUAGGUGCUCCUGCUCCUUGGAGGGGGUUGGAGAGUUUCGGCGGUUUGGGAUGGACUGGCGGGUUAUCAGCCUGUUGGUGGGGUAGUGGCUUACCAAGGCUUUGCCGGGUAGCCGGCCUGAGAGGGUGGCCGGCGACAUUGGGACUGCGAGACGGACCAGACUGGUACGGGAGGCAGUAGUGGGGAAUAUUGCACAAUGGGCGGAAGCCUGAGGAAGAAAUGCCGCGUGCGGGAUGCCGGCUUUCGGGUUGUAAACCGCUUUCGCCGGUGAUGAAGCGUGCGUGACGGUAACGGGUAAGGAAGCAACGGCUAACUACGUG